rnacentral:rRNA from 1 species
AACGAACGCUGGCGGCAUGCCUAACACAUGCAAGUCGAACGAGACCUUCGGGUCUAGUGGCGCACGGGUGCGUAACGCGUGGGAACCUGCCCUUAGGUUCGGAAUAACUCCCCGAAAGGGGUGCUAAUACCGGAUAAUGUCUUCGGACCAAAGAUUUAUCGCCUUUGGAUGGGCCCGCGUUGGAUUAGCUAGUUGGUAGGGUAAAAGCCUACCACGGCGACGAUCCAUAGCUGGGCUGAGAGGAUGCUCAGCCACACUGGGACUGGGACACGGCCCGGACUCCUACGGGAGGGAGCAGUGGGGAAUAUUGGACAAUGGGCGGAAGCCUGAUCCAGCAAUGCCGGGUGAGUGAUGAAGGCCUGAGGGUUGUAAAGCUCUUUUACCCGGGAUGAUAAUGACAGUACCGGGAGAAUAAGCGCCGGCUAACUCCGUG